GUGCCAGCCGCCGCGGUAAUACCGGCAGCCCGAGUGAUGGCCGAUCUUAUUGGGCCUAAAGCGUCCGUAGCCAGCCGAACAAGUCCGUUGGGAAAUCCACCCGCCUAACGAGUGGGCGUCCGGCGGAAACUGUGCGGCUUGGGACCGGAAGAUCCGAGGGGUACGUCCGGGGUAGGAGUGAAAUCCCGUAAUCCUGGACGGACCACCGAUGGCGAAAGCACCUCGGAAGGACGGAUCCGACAGUGAGGGACGAAAGCUAGGGUCUCGAACCGGAUUAGAUACCCGUGUAGUCC
rnacentral:rRNA from 1 species